GUGGGGAGGGCCCCGCUUUAAGGAAGCAAGGAGAGGAGUUAAGAAAGGGACUCCCUAAGUGCUUCUUCCCCUUCAUUAUUAACCAAGUCGGGAUCUUCAUACAAAGUCAUAUGAUGGCAUAGAUUCAUUACUCUUAGAUUUUUAAAUUUCUGAAAAGCUAAAAGUGACCUGAUUUUACCAAUGAUGAAUCUGGCCCUGAGGAGAUUGCCUGGAAAGGGAUAAUUUUUCCUAACAGGUGGAUACAUUUAUUUUCAAUAUAAAUAGUGACUGUCCCUACUUGAGGUGCUGAAGCUCUAUAUACUGUGGAAAUUGAUGCCAUCAUCACAGCAUAUUAGAAAACAUGUGGAGUGAUGUCUUAUCUAACUGAUGACUUGUUUCAAUAGCACUUCAUAUUGGUGCUUUUCUAGGCCCCAAUGGCAGAGUUUAGUACAUAAAUAAAUAAUUCAUUCCAUUGUUAAAA